GUUAAGCGACUAAGCGUACACGGUGGAUGCCCUGGCAGUCAGAGGCGAUGAAGGACGUGCUAAUCUGCGAUAAGCGUCGGUAAGGUGAUAUGAACCGUUAUAACCGGCGAUUUCCGAAUGGGGAAACCCAGUGUGAUUCGUCACACUAUCAUUAACUGAAUCCAUAGGUUAAUGAGGCGAACCGGGGGAACUGAAACAUCUAAGUACCCCGAGGAAAAGAAAUCAACCGAGAUUCCCCCAGUAGCGGCGAGCGAACGGGGAGCAGCCCAGAGCCUGAAUCAGUGUGUGUGUUAGUGGAAGCGUCUGGAAAGGCGCGCGAUACAGGGUGACAGCCCCGUACACAAAAAUGCACAUGCUGUGAGCUCGAUGAGUAGGGCGGGACACGUGGUAUCCUGUCUGAAUAUGGGGGGACCAUCCUCCAAGGCUAAAUACUCCUGACUGACCGAUAGUGAACCAGUACCGUGAGGGAAAGGCGAAAAGAACCCCGGCGAGGGGAGUGAAAAAGAACCUGAAACCGUGUACGUACAAGCAGUGGGAGCACAGAGCAAUCUGUGUGACUGCGUACCUUUUGUAUAAUGGGUCAGCGACUUAUAUUCUGUAGCAAGGUUAACCGAAUAGGGGAGCCGAAGGGAAACCGAGUCUUAACUGGGCGUUAAGUUGCAGGGUAUAGACCCGAAACCCGGUGAUCUAGCCAUGGGCAGGUUGAAGGUUGGGUAACACUAACUGGAGGACCGAACCGACUAAUGUUGAAAAAUUAGCGGAUGACUUGUGGCUGGGGGUGAAAGGCCAAUCAAACCGGGAGAUAGCUGGUUCUCCCCGAAAGCUAUUUAGGUAGCGCCUCGUGAAUUCAUCUCCGGGGGUAGAGCACUGUUUCGGCAAGGGGGUCAUCCCGACUUACCAACCCGAUGCAAACUGCGAAUACCGGAGAAUGUUAUCACGGGAGACACACGGCGGGUGCUAACGUCCGUCGUGAAGAGGGAAACAACCCAGACCGCCAGCUAAGGUCCCAAAGUCAUGGUUAAGUGGGAAACGAUGUGGGAAGGCCCAGACAGCCAGGAUGUUGGCUUAGAAGCAGCCAUCAUUUAAAGAAAGCGUAAUAGCUCACUGGUCGAGUCGGCCUGCGCGGAAGAUGUAACGGGGCUAAACCAUGCACCGAAGCUGCGGCAGCGACGCUGAUGCGUUGUUGGGUAGGGGAGCGUUCUGUAAGCCUGUGAAGGUGUGCUGUGAGGCAUGCUGGAGGUAUCAGAAGUGCGAAUGCUGACAUAAGUAACGAUAAAGCGGGUGAAAAGCCCGCUCGCCGGAAGACCAAGGGUUCCUGUCCAACGUUAAUCGGGGCAGGGUGAGUCGACCCCUAAGGCGAGGCCGAAAGGCGUAGUCGAUGGGAAACAGGUUAAUAUUCCUGUACUUGGUGUUACUGCGAAGGGGGGACGGAGAAGGCUAUGUUGGCCGGGCGACGGUUGUCCCGGUUUAAGCGUGUAGGCUGGUUUUCCAGGCAAAUCCGGAAAAUCAAGGCUGAGGCGUGAUGACGAGGCACUACGGUGCUGAAGCAACAAAUGCCCUGCUUCCAGGAAAAGCCUCUAAGCAUCAGGUAACAUCAAAUCGUACCCCAAACCGACACAGGUGGUCAGGUAGAGAAUACCAAGGCGCUUGAGAGAACUCGGGUGAAGGAACUAGGCAAAAUGGUGCCGUAACUUCGGGAGAAGGCACGCUGAUAUGUAGGUGAAGUCCCUCGCGGAUGGAGCUGAAAUCAGUCGAAGAUACCAGCUGGCUGCAACUGUUUAUUAAAAACACAGCACUGUGCAAACACGAAAGUGGACGUAUACGGUGUGACGCCUGCCCGGUGCCGGAAGGUUAAUUGAUGGGGUCAGCGCAAGCGAAGCUCUUGAUCGAAGCCCCGGUAAACGGCGGCCGUAACUAUAACGGUCCUAAGGUAGCGAAAUUCCUUGUCGGGUAAGUUCCGACCUGCACGAAUGGCGUAAUGAUGGCCAGGCUGUCUCCACCCGAGACUCAGUGAAAUUGAACUCGCUGUGAAGAUGCAGUGUACCCGCGGCAAGACGGAAAGACCCCGUGAACCUUUACUAUAGCUUGACACUGAACAUUGAGCCUUGAUGUGUAGGAUAGGUGGGAGGCUUUGAAGUGUGGACGCCAGUCUGCAUGGAGCCGGCCUUGAAAUACCACCCUUUAAUGUUUGAUGUUCUAACGUUGACCCGUUAUCCGGGUUGCGGACAGUGUCUGGUGGGUAGUUUGACUGGGGCGGUCUCCUCCUAAAGAGUAACGGAGGAGCACGAAGGUUGGCUAAUCCUGGUCGGACAUCAGGAGGUUAGUGCAAUGGCAUAAGCCAGCUUGACUGCGAGCGUGACGGCGCGAGCAGGUGCGAAAGCAGGUCAUAGUGAUCCGGUGGUUCUGAAUGGAAGGGCCAUCGCUCAACGGAUAAAAGGUACUCCGGGGAUAACAGGCUGAUACCGCCCAAGAGUUCAUAUCGACGGCGGUGUUUGGCACCUCGAUGUCGGCUCAUCACAUCCUGGGGCUGAAGUAGGUCCCAAGGGUAUGGCUGUUCGCCAUUUAAAGUGGUACGCGAGCUGGGUUUAGAACGUCGUGAGACAGUUCGGUCCCUA
rnacentral:rRNA from 1 species